AAAAAAACAAACCGGGGGUUUGCGUGCUAAUAUUUGACUGUCCGUUUUAUAUGAAUUUUUUUUAUAAUUAAUAUUUUUAUUGUUGUUAGAUGAUAAAACAUGAUGAAUACUUUAUGCAUGACUUAUCUUUUUAAUUUUUUUCAUAAUUUUUUCAAGUAAGACGGACGGUCAAAUAUCGAACACU
rfam:Oryza barthii chromosome 12, whole genome shotgun sequence.